AUGCCCUUGCUGUCUCUCACUAGCCUCCCUGGGACAAACUCCCCAGUCUCAGAGCUCAUCACCAGCCUCCAGUGCCCUCCUGGAUUUGGCAUCUGUCAUGUGGGGGUGUCUACCAGCAGACAUCUGGAGGUCAGAACGUCGCCAGAGAAUCCAGAGGGCAAAGAUGGAUCCAAAGUAACUAAACAGGAGCCCACAAGACGGUCUGCCAGAUUGUCAGCAAAACCUGCCCCACCAAAACUUGAACCUAAACCAUGAAAAAUAUCUGCUAAGAAAGAACCUGAAGCAAAGAUUAACCGAGCUGCUAAAGGGAAGAAGGAGGAAAAACUGGAAGCUGGAAAGGAAGGCACAGAACACUGAAUCUGUAGAUAUUGAGGAAGAAUGAAUUGUCGUGAAAAAUUGGGGUUGAUUUUAUGUAUCUCUUGGAACAACUUUUAAAAGCUAUUUUUACUAAGUAUUUUGUAAAUGCUAAUUUUUUUAGGACUCUGCUAGUUGACAUACAAAAAUAUAUAAGGAUGGACAUUUUACCCUCUCAUAGUCAGGCUUUUUGGAAAUUUCCAUCAUCCUCAAGUAAAAUAAAUAUCAAUUUAAUAUUG